rnacentral:rRNA from 1 species
UACGUAGGGUGCAAGCGUUAUCCGGAAUUAUUGGGCGUAAAGAGCUCGUAGGCGGUUUGUCGCGUCUGCUGUGAAAACUGGAGGCUCAACCUCCAGCCUGCAGUGGGUACGGGCAGACUAGAGUGCGGUAGGGGAGAUUGGAAUUCCUGGUGUAGCGGUGGAAUGCGCAGAUAUCGGGAGGAACAUCAGUGGCGAAAGCGGCACCCUGGCAUUAGCCUGACGCUCAUGUGCGAAAGCGUGGGGAGCGAACGGG